GCCCUCUGAGAAGAGAAUGUUAGGCUUCUGAAAGAAGAGAUAAAUAGUGAGAGAUAACAUCUAAGAAUCAAAAUAAUAUAUUCAGUAAUUAUUUUCUGAACCUAUCCUAAUGCUCUGACCGAUACAUUCUUUAGAACAUCUACCCGUACAUUCCAAGGACCCUUUUUCCACGGCCCUUUUUCUCCCUGUAUCCCUCUUCCUGCUCCCCUUCUUUUGCACAGGGCAUGUUUCACAUAUACAAGAUGUUCUUACGUGUCAUCCCACUUUAGAGAUGAGCAAAUUGAGUCUCAGGGAAGGCAAACAUCAACUUUGUCUUGGGGAAAGGGCAGGAAGCUGGAAGGGAGGAGGAAAUGAGCUCUGGCGAAGGAAAGAGGACAUGGCUGGGAUCCUUAUGGGGUGGUGUACGAGUACCCGUGCCCCCCCGAUCUGUGGGGUGAGGGUGGCGGUGACUAGCGCUGGGACCAGCUCCUUCUCUCUCGCUCCCAAGCCCACAAGAAUUCGGGGAGAAAGGGUGAGGUAGGGGGCUCCGGGAGAGCGGAGAGAGUUUGGAAAGAAUCCAUCCCUCCUUCUCCCCGGCGGCUUUCUCGAGACCCUCACACAGCGCCCCGCCCCGCCCCAGUACAUUUCCUUUCAGGGAAAGGGACAGGGAAGAGGCUGUCGGGAAAUGGCGGCCGCGGCCGGGCUGGGGCUUCAGCGGGAGGCAGCAGAGGGGAAGUGGCCAGCGUGGCGAAUGACGGAAGAAACUCGCAUUGUCUACUGGAUCAAGGACAGACAGCUCACCAACCAUGACAGCACCAUACUGGAACUUCAAAAAGUUCUGAAAACAUGUUGGUUCGUUUGUUGGAGUAUUUUUCAACUUAAAUUCCUUUUCCUUUUUUUUUUUUGCUCACUUUUUCCUCUGCAGAAAAACCUUAAAAUGUUCUACCUUUUCCUUGAAACCUCCUCCCAAUCCUUAGUUCACAUUGACUUGUCUUUAAAUGUUUUUGAGAAAAUAAUCAGAAAUGCACAAUUAGUGCUUGGUGGUUCUCAAAUUAUUUCACGCGUGGUAGUUUUGAUUUUUGCUUUUCCAGUGAGGCUGUACCUUUCAUCCUUAGGCAAAUAUGAUGGCUUUCAAAAGCAGCUAUGGGGUGGGAACUGGGAGUGGCUGCAAAUGGGCAUGGAGCGUCUUUUAGAGAUAACGAAAAUGUCCCAACUUAGAUUGUGGUGA
rnacentral:lncRNA from 1 species